rnacentral:rRNA from 1 species
UACGGAGGGUGCGAGCGUUGUCCGGAAUCACUGGGCGUAAAGGGCGCGUAGGCGGCUGUGUAAGUCACUUGCGAAAUCCCGGGGCUCAACUCCGGGGCUGCAGGUGAGACUGCAUGGCUAGAGCACGGUAGAGGCAAGUGGAAUUCCCGGUGUAGCGGUGGAAUGCGUAGAUAUCGGGAAGAACACCGGUGGCGAAGGCGGCUUGCUGGGCCGUUGCUGACGCUGAUGCGCGAAAGCGUGGGGAGCAAACAGG